UCGACCUGAGCUCAGGCAAGAACACCCGCUGAACUUAAGCAUAUCAAUAAGCGGAGGAAAAGAAACUAACCAGGAUUCCCCUAGUAACGGCGAGUGAACCGGGAAGAGCCCAGCUUGAAAAUCUCCAGCCCCC
rnacentral:rRNA from 2 species